UGAACGCUAGCUACAGGCUUAACACAUGCAAGUCGAGGGGCAGCAUGAUCGAAGCUUGCUUUGAUGAUGGCGACCGGCGCACGGGUGAGUAACGCGUAUCCAACCUUCCCUAUAGUAGAGGAUAGCCCGGCGAAAGUCGGAUUAAUACUCUAUGUUUUCCGAAGCAGACAUCUAAUUUGGAACAAAAGGUUCACCGCUAUAGGAUGGGGAUGCGUCUGAUUAGGUAGUCGGCGGGGUAACGGCCCACCGAGCCAACGAUCAGUAGGGGUUCUGAGAGGAAGGUCCCCCACAUUGGAACUGAGACACGGUCCAAACUCCUACGGGAGGCAGCAGUGAGGAAUAUUGGUCAAUGGGCGAGAGCCUGAACCAGCCAAAAGUAGCGUGCAGGAUGACGGCCCUAUGGGUUGUAAACUGCUUUUAUACGGGGAUAAAGUGAGGGACGUGUCCCUUUUUGUAGGUACCGUAUGAAUAAGGACCGGCUAAUUCCGUGCCAGCCGCCGC
rnacentral:rRNA from 1 species